rnacentral:rRNA from 1 species
UGGGGAAUAUUGGACAAUGGGGGCAACCCUGAUCCAGCAAUGCCGCGUGUGUGAAGAAGGCCUGCGGGUUGUAAAGCACUUUCAGUAGAGAAGAAAAGCCUAAGGUUAAUAACCUUGAGUCUUGACGUAACCUACAGAAGAAGCACCGGCUAACUCCGUGCCAGCAGCCGCGGUAAUACGGAGGGUGCAAGCGUUGUUCGGAAUUACUGGGCGUAAAGGGCUCGUAGGCGGCCAACUAAGUCAGACGUGAAAUCCCUCGGCUUAACCGGGGAACUGCGUCUGAUACUGGAUGGCUUGAGGUUGGGAGAGGGAUGCGGAAUUCCAGGUGUAGCGGUGAAAUGCGUAGAUAUCUGGAGGAACACCGGUGGCGAAGGCGACAUCCUGGACCAAUUCUGACGCUGAGGAGCGAAAGCCAGGGGAGCAAACGGGAUUAGAUACCCUAGUAGUCCCUGAGCGGGCUGGCAAGGCGCAU